UAAUACUAGGGGUGCAAGCGUUGUCCGGAAUCAUUGGGCGUAAAGGGUCCGUAGGCGUCUCAAUAAGUCACUUGUUAAAGACACCGGCUUAACCGGUGGAAUGCAUGUGAAACUGUUGAGAUAGAGUAUAGGAGAGGAAAGUGGAAUUCCUGGUGUAGCGGUGACAUGCGUAGAUAUCAGGAGGAACACCAAUGGCGAAGGCAACUUUCUGGCCUAUUACUGACGCUGAGGCACGAAAGCGUGGGGAGCAAACAGGAUUAGAUACCCUGGUAGUCCACGCCGUAAACGAUGAGUACUUGGUGUCGGGGGAUUCGACCCCUUCGGUACCGGAGCUAACGCAUUAAGUACUCCGCCUGGGAACUACGACCGCAAGGUUG
rnacentral:rRNA from 1 species